rnacentral:tRNA from 1 species
AACCUAUUAGCUUAAAUGGAAGAGCAUUGUGUCAUGCACAAGAUGUGGGUUCGAUUCCCAUAUAGAUUA